UAGAGAAUCUUCCACAAUGGACGCAAGUCUGAUGGAGCAACGCCGCGUGAGUGAAGAAGGUUUUCGGACCGUAAAGCUCUGUUGUUGGUGAAGAAGGAUAGAGGUAGUAACUGGCCUUUAUUUGACGGUAAUCAACCAGAAAGUCACGGCUAACUACGUGCCAGCAGCCGCGGUAAUCGUAGGUGGCAAGCGUUGUCCGGAUUUAUUGGGCGUAAAGCGAGCGCAGGCGGAAGAAUAAGUCUGAUGUGAAAGCCCUCGGCUUAACCGAGGAAUUGCAUCGGAAACUGUUUUCUUGAGUGCAGAAGAGGAGAGUAGAACUCCAUGUGUAGCGGUGGAAUGCGUAGAUAUAUGGAAGAAUACCAGUGGCGAAGGCGGCUCUCUGGUCUGCAACUGACGCUGAGGCUCGAAAGCAUGGGUAGCGAACAGGAUUAGAUACCCUGGUAGUCCAUGCCGUAAACGAUGAGUGCUAAGUGUUGGGAGGCUUCCGCCUCUCAGUGCUGCAGCUAACGCAUUAAGCACUCCGCCUGGGGGAGUACGACCGCAAGGUUGAAAC
rnacentral:rRNA from 1 species